rnacentral:misc_RNA from 1 species
GAUGAAGAACGCAGCGAAAUGCGAUAAGUAAUGUGAAUUGCAGAAUCCAGUGAAUCAUCGAAUCUUUGAACGCACAUUGCGCCCGCCAGCAUUCUGGCGGGCAUGCCUGCUCGAGCGUCAUUUCAACCCUCGACCUCCCCUUGGGGAGGUCGGCGUUGGGGACCGGCAGCACACCGCCGGCCCUGAAAUGGAGUGGCGGCCCGUCUGCGGCGACCUCUGCGUAGUAAUACAGCUCGCACCGGAACCCCGACGCGGCCACGCCGUAAAACACCCAACUUCUGAACGUUGACCUCGAAUCAGGUAGGACUACCCGCUGAACUUAAGCAUAUCAAUAAGCGGAGGA